rnacentral:tRNA from 1 species
GCUCGGUUAACUCAGCGGUAGAGUGCCACCUUCACACGGUGGAAGUCAUUGGUUCAAAUCCAAUACCGAGUA